CCUACGGGAGGCAGCAGUCGGGAAUCUUGCGCAAUGGAGGAAACUCUGACGCAGUGACGCCGCGUGCAGGAAGAAGGUUUUCGGAUUGUAAACUGCUUUAGACAGGGAAGAAAAAAGACAGUACCGGUAGAAUAAGCUCCGGCUAAAUACGUGCCAGCAGCCGCGGUAAUACGUAGGGAGCAAGCGUGACCCGGUUUUAUUGGGUGUAAAGGGUGCGUAGGCGGGGAAGCAAGUUAGUAGUGAAAUCCCUCGGCUUAACUGAGGAACUGCAACUAAAACUAGUUCCCUUGAGUACUGGAGAGGAGAGUGGAAUUCCUAGUGUAGCGGUGAAAUGCGUAGAUAUUAGGAGGAACACCAGUGGCGAAGGCGACUUUCUGGACAGUAACUGACGUUGAGGCACGAAAGUGUGGGGAGCGAACAGGAUUAGAUACCCGUGUAGUC
rnacentral:rRNA from 1 species